AAGUCGUAACAAGGUUUCCGUAGGUGAACCUGCGGAAGGAUCAUUAACACGUAUCCAACGUUAAACAACCCUGAUCCCGGUAAAUCAAAUGGCGGAAAGAGUUUUGAUUCGGGACCUCUGUCCAAAAGGUAUCAAGUUACAAUCGAGCAGAGCAGUGGCAUGGUUUCCCUAAGCAGUGCAGAAGGAUCCACUGAGUAAGGAUAACGCAUCACGGUUGCCAGAGGUCGAUCACCGGCCGGCAGACAUGUCACAGGGCUUUACGCCCCUUCAUUCACCCCUUGCCUAAUCAAGCCUCGCGGAAACGCCGGGCAUAAAAACCGAACAACUGUUAACAAUGGAUAUCUUGGUUCUC
rnacentral:misc_RNA from 1 species